rnacentral:rRNA from 1 species
CCUACGGGUGACUGCAGUGAGGAAUAUUGGUCAAUGGCCGGAAGGCUGAACCAGCCAUGCCGCGUGAAGGGCAGGGACCUAGGGGCGUUAAACUUCGUUUGGGCGGGAGCAAGAAUGGGCACGUGGGGCCAGACGAGAGGACCGUACGAAAAAGCAUCGGCGAACCCCGUGCCAGCAGCCGCGGUAAUACGGGGGAUGCAAGCGUUAUCCGGAUUUAGUGGGUUUCAAGGGUGCGUAGGCUGUGAGGUAAGUCAGCGGGGAAAGGCCCCCGCUCAACGGGGUGAAGUGCCAUUGAUACUGCCUUGCUGGAUUGCGGCUGCCUUGGGCGGAAUGUGUGGUGUAGCGGUGACAUGCAUCGCUCUCACCC